rnacentral:lncRNA from 1 species
UUUUUAUGCCCCACCUACGAUAGUAGAGGGGCAUUAUGUUUUCUGGUCUGUGCCUCCGUUCGUCCGUCCGUCCGUCCGGUUAAAGUUUUUGGUCGAGGUAGUUUUUGAUGAAGCUGAAGUCCAAUCAACUUGAAACUUAAUACAAAUGUUCCCCAUGAUAUGAUCUUUCUAAUUUUAAUGCCAAAUUAUAGUUUUGACCCCAAUUUCAUGGUCUACUGAACAUAGAAAAUGAUAGUGCAAAGUUCAGGUUAAAGUUUUUGGUCAUGGUAGUUU